rnacentral:rRNA from 1 species
GGCGUGUACUGCUUGGCUGGGCCUUACUUCUUGGUGAGCCGGCGUGCCCUUUAUUGGUGUGCGUCGGGGAACCAGGACUUUUACCUUGAGAAAAUUAGAGUGUUCAAAGCAGGCCUAUGCCUGAAUACAUUAGCAUGGAAUAUAGAUAGGACGUGCGUUCUAUUUUGUGGUUUCUAGAGUCGCGUAAUGAUUAAUAGGGACAGUUGGGGGCAUUGGUAUUGAGUCGCUAGAGGUGAAAUUCUUGGAUUGACUCAAGACCGACUAUUGCGAAAGCAUUUGCCAAGGAUGUUUUCAUUAAUCAAGAACGAAGGUUAGGGGAUCGAAAACGAUCAGAUACCGUUGUAGUCUUAACAGUAAACUAUGCCGACUAGGGAUCGGAUGACCUCAAAAUUGAUGUGUCAUUCGGCACCUUACGAGAAAUCAAAGUCCUUGGGUUCUGGGGGGAGUAUGGUCGCAAGGCUGAAACUUAAAGGAAUUGACGGAAGGGCACCACCAGGUGUGGAGCCUGCGGCUUAAUUUGACUCAACACGGGGAAACUCCCCAGGUCCAGACAUAACUAGGAUUGACAGAUUGAUAGCUCUUUCAUGAUUUUAUGGGUGGUGGUGCAUGGCCGUUCUUAGUUGGUGGAGUGAUUUGUCUGGUUAAUUCCGAUAACGAACGAGACCUUAACCUGCUAAAUAGCCAGGCCGGCUUCGGCUGGUCUCUGGCUUCUUAGAGGGACUGUCAG